rnacentral:lncRNA from 1 species
UAGAUUGCCAACACAGAGUAUGUACUCCCGCCAGGACAGUUCACAUACACCUAGAAUAUCUGCGUUCUCGUCUAUUGUGGCCAGUGUAACAAGUUGUGAUAUAACUCGCUGAGCAACCUGUGAGUUGAUUGGCUGGCCAACAAAAAUAAUACGAUUCCUGAAUAAUACGGUGGAAAGAUCCAAAGGUCCACCUGGCGUCAUGACAGCUGGCAUUAUAGGUGGAGGGGCCCCUCUUCUUG